rnacentral:rRNA from 1 species
GUAGUCCAUGCCGUAAACGUUGGGAACUAGAUGUGGGGGCCAUUCCACGGCUUCCGUGUCGCAGCUAACGCAUUAAGUUCCCCGCCUGGGGAGUACGGCCGCAAGGCUAAAACUCAAAGGAAUUGACGGGGGCCCGCACAAGCGGCGGAGCAUGCGGAUUAAUUCGAUGCAACGCGAAGAACCUUACCAAGGCUUGACAUAUACCUGAAAAGGCUAGAAAUAGUCUCCCCGCAAGGCAGGUAUACAGGUGGUGCAUGGUUGUCGUCAGCUCGUGUCGUGAGAUGUUGGGUUAAGUCCCGCAACGAGCGCAACCCUCGUUCUAUGUUGCCAGCACGUAAUGGUGGGAACUCAUAGGAGACUGCCGGGGUCAACUCGGA